GGACAAUGCAUCCCAAUUGGGAAAGAAAGGGAAGAAUUGAACACCUAAAGAAAAAAGCGCAAAAAGAUUUCCAGCAAUUCAGCUCCUAUGGCCAUGGCUUUCCGAUUUCCUUACAGACCCUUUAUUUCUGACAUGAAAUUGGAUGCUGGUGGCAUAUACAACACAACUGGAAAGGGCCCGAGAAGUACAGGAGAAUUGCUCAGCCAAAUAUUGACAGCAAGUUGCAUUCAAUCAACUUGCAAGAACAGAAAACCUCUUGGUAGAGUGGGAAGGAUUUUAUCUUUUCAAGGAUCCUCAAAGCAUGUGCAGACAGCUUGCCGAAUCUCAUUUCCAAGGGCUACUUUAGAAAGUAAAGAGAAGGCAUCUUCAAGUUUGAGGAAAAAGAUGAUAAUUCCUGAUUCAGAUCCACCUAGUGUUCAAGAUGUCAACAUUCUCUAUCAAUUUUUUGAUAGGAGUUCAAAUCUUGUUGUUCUGACUGGUGCUGGAAUUAGCACAGAGUGUGGAAUUCCUGAUUAUAGAAGUCCAAAUGGAGCUUAUAGCACUGGAUUCAAACCCAUAACCCAUCAGGAGUUUAUGCGUUCCAUCCGGGCACGAAGACGAUAUUGGGCAAGGAGCUAUGCCGGAUGGAGAAAGUUCACCGCUGCACAACCUGGUGCAGCUCAUAUUUCUCUGGCAUCUCUUGAGAAAGCAGGACGGAUAAAUUUUAUGGUUACACAAAAUGUAGACAGGCUGCAUCAUCGUGCUGGAAGUAAUCCCCUGGAAUUACAUGGAACUGUAUAUAAUGUUAAUUGUACAAAUUGUGGUUUUUCACUCUCUCGAAGUGUAUUUCAAGAUCAAGUAAAAGCCCAUAAUAAAAAGUGGGCAGCUGCAAUUGAAAGUUUAGACUAUGACAGUGUCUCCGACAAGAGCUUUGGUAUGAAGAUUAGGCCAGAUGGCGACGUUGAAAUUGAUGAGAAAUUCUGGGAGGAGGAAUUUCAUAUUCCUAGUUGUCAGAGAUGUGAUGGAAUUUUAAAACCUGACAGUAGCACAUUUCUCGGUAAGAGGCAUCAUUAAAAUGGCCCCCAUGUAUUUUAUAGCGAGUCUGUGAAUCUCUACUGCGAAGAUAAAAUCGGGAGUUAUUUUGGAUAGCUUAUAUUCCAACAGUUCCACAAAGAGGAAAGCUGUUUCUCAAGGUUGUCUUCUUUGGUGAUAAUGUCCCAAAGGAUAGAGCUGACACAGCCAUGGAAGCUGCAAAGAGAUGUGAUGCUUUUCUUGUGCUUGGCUCAUCUUUGAUGACUAUGUCUGCUUUCCGUCUUAUUAGGUCCAAGCCUUGCCAUCUUUCUAAGUAUGAUUUAGGUGAAGCUUGGAAUGUUCUGAUGCAGACAGAAGCCUGAGAAGACUAGGGAAAGCUUUGGUGCAUGACCAGCUUAUGGGCUUGAAAGCAAAAUGGUGAAAGACAUUGUCCUGGUUAGGUAAAUUAGCCCGCUUAUGGGCUUGAAAGCAAAAUGGUGAAAGACAUUGUUCUGGUUAG